AUUGAACGCUGGCGGCAGGCCUAACACAUGCAAGUCGAGCGGAUGAAGGGAGCUUGCUCCUGGAUUCAGCGGCGGACGGGUGAGUAAUGCCUAGGAAUCUGCCUGGUAGUGGGGGAUAACGUCCGGAAACGGGCGCUAAUACCGCAUACGUCCUGAGGGAGAAAGCGGGGGAUCUUCGGACCUCACGCUAUCAGAUGAGCCUAGGUCGGAUUAGCUAGUUGGUGGGGUAAAGGCCUACCAAGGCGACGAUCCGUAACUGGUCUGAGAGGAUGAUCAGUCACACUGGAACUGAGGCACGGUCCAGACUCCUACGGGAGGCAGCAGUGGGGAAUAUUGGACAAUGGGCGAAAGCCUGAUCCAGCCAUGCCGCGUGUGUGAAGAAGGUCUUCGGAUUGUAAAGCACUUUAAGUUGGGAGGAAGGGCAGUAAGUUAAUACCUUGCUGUUUUGACGUUACCAACAGAAUAAGCACCGGCUAACUUCGUG
rnacentral:rRNA from 1 species